UACGUAGGGGGCAAGCGUUGUCCGGAAUCAUUGGGCGUAAAGCGCGCGUAGGCGGCCCGGUAAGUCCGUUGUGAAAGUCAAAGGCUCAACCUUUGAAUGCCGAUGGAUACUGCCGGGCUCGAGUCCGGAAGAGGCGAGUGGAAUUCCUGGUGUAGCGGUGGAAUGCGCAGAUAUCAGGAGGAACACCAAUAGCGAAGGCAGCUCGCUGGGACGGUACUGACACUGAGGCGCGAAAGCGUGGGGAUCAAACAGG
rnacentral:rRNA from 1 species